GGGGGGGGGGGGGGGGGGGGGGGGGGGGGGGGGGGCGGGGGGGGGGGGCCGGCGGGGGGGGGGGGCGGGGGGGGCGAGCGGGGGAGUGACACGUGAGGACCCGGCCCUUGGCGUUGGGAUAACUUCAGGAGACUGGGGCUAAUACCGGAUAGGAGCUCCUGCGGCAUGGUGGGGGUUGGAAAGUUUCGGCGGUUGGGGAUGGACUCGCGGCUUAUCAGCUUGUUGGUGGGCGAGUGGCUUACCAAGGCUGUGCCGGGUAGCCGGCCUGAGAGGGUGACCGGCCACAUUGGGACUGAGAUACGGCCCAGACUCCUACGGGAGGCAGGAGUGGGGAAUAUUGCACAAUGGGCGGAAGCCUGAUGCAGCAACGCCGCGUGCGGGAUGACGGCCUUCGGGUUGUAAACCGCUUUCGCCUGUGACGAAGCGUGAGUGACGGUAAUGGGUAAAGAAGCACCGGCUAACUACGUG
rnacentral:rRNA from 1 species